AAAAAUACAGACAGACAGACGAACACAGACAGACAGUCGGACAGUAAUACAGAGAAGCAGAAAAAAAAAGAUGUUCACACCGAUGGUACAGCUGAGACGGGUUGCCAGCUGACCCUUCGUCCCUCGCGGUGCCUCUUCAGUAUAUUAACGGACAUGAUCCUUCAAUCUAUUCUUCUGAAGCAGUUUAUUUCUAAAAUCGAAUAACAGAGCGUAAGUUUCGGGAAUUUCUCUGAGAGGAAGACAGGAAACAAAUGACUAAUCUCUCCCCAAAUCAAACGAACAUCCUGCCGUCCCUGGAGGCCUCACAGCAGCUGGCACUGCCACAGUGCCAUUCACCACCAUACUCUCACCCACUUCAGUCACAUCCCGCCGCCACAGUCCUUCACUUCCUCAGCAAGACACAGCCCUUCAGACACCAUGCGCUGGCCAUUCCUAAUGUUUGCCCUCGCCAUCGCGCUGCUGGCCUUCACAAUGAACACAGCAGCUCGCACGUCGCGUCCUAGUUCCCUGACUGACAACGUUCCCUGCUUGGGGCGCUGCGAGAGAAGGGAUGGCAAUGGAAGAUGCCGCACGGAUGCCCUCUGCAAACGUAGACUCCGUCUGGUCUAAACCAUGUGGCGGCUCCCAACGCCAUAUUAUUUGCGUUAGCUUGCUCCCAAAGCUUUGAGUGUACACUUUUUUUUAUUUAUUUUCUAUUUUGGUACCAAACCAUGAAGAAGAAUUAUAACAGUUUUCACUGCUUGCCGACACGUCAACUAUAUACAUGAUGCACCAAGAACAAGAGGGUAACGAAGGCAAUUUACAUGUAUUCAUAAUGCUGACCCGUCGACAACACUAGCGACUACCUUGGCUUGUUCAAUCUCUCUCUCUCUCUCUCUCUCUCUCUCUCUCUCACACACACACACACACACACACACACACAGAGAUACACACACACGCGCGCGCGCGCGCAAGCAUGAAUAUAGUAUGCAUGGAAAUAAUAUAUUCGUAUGUAUUUUUUCAAAUCUUGCAGAUUUUAUUUGUAAGGGAAAUAAACAUGUUUAUCAUUUUUAACUCACGAAUAUUGAUGCAAUACUAACCAUUGUAACUCACAGUAAUGAUUAUAUUGCCACUCAUUAAAGGUCUUUACAUAUAUCAACUUCUCAUUCUAAAUAUCUGUAUAGUUUCUAUUUUGAUAUCAUAUAUUGACAAAAUUCUUUGACAAGAGAACAUAUAAUUUAACUCACAAACGGCAUCAUUGCAUACUACUGAAAUGCUUAAAUAUAUACGUCAGGCAGAGAAACAGGAACGCAUCGUUUGUCACAACUUUGAUGGUGAGGCCCAUGGCAAGGAUGAGCCUUCACGUGAGAUGGGAAACAAAACACAAACCGACUUGCUGCAUUGCCUCUAGUUUGUCAUAGGGUGAGGAAAGCAGUGUGUGUGUGUGUGUGUGUGUGUAGGAGAGAGAGAGAGAGAGAGAGAGAGAGAGAGAGAGAGAGAGAGAGAGAGAGCAUUCCCUUGUAUUUUAUUGUGAAGACAAAUAAUAAUGAAGUGAGUGUCGAGAGACAGGCAAGGGUUGUGGCACCGUGCAGACUGUUGAGCCCUGCACAGAGCCUCCCGGCCGUUGAGUCAGCAAGGCGGGGAUUUUCCGUCCUUAGGUGGAAAUUCGCUUGUCUGUGCGCAGUAACCCCUACAUGCCAAAUACUUGACAGAUGUGAAUCCUGAAGUAUCAUUAUGAGAAACUACCAACACUCUGAAAUAUUAUCUUCGUGAUACAUGCAUAAGCCAAUUACAUUUUUACUGCAUGAUAAUAGCUGAUGGAAAACGAAAUGAAUAUGACUGAUACUGUGGCAAAGUGGAGGAAAGUUUGGUACAAAAUAUCCUAAUUGAUGAGAAUACUAUUUUAUUCAGCUUACUUCAAUGGUAAAGAUAUGUCAGUGACGUAGAAUAUGGACGUAAAAUAUGCUAUUUAUUCUAGGGAUCAACAGUACUGAGAAUUAGAGAUGUACUAAUACAAAAAAAAUUGACCGAUACUGAUGCUACAAAAUUAGGCCGAUAUCGAUACCACUACCAAUACCGAUAAUUUUCUAAGUACAGAGCUGGCCACUACUUAAGCAUAACACAUCAAAUUACCAAUGAUACUUUGAGUCUUAAGACUAUGAAAAGUGUUAUUUAUGGACCUCUUGUCAGAAGAAGGUCUUGUGCGUGUCAAGAACCAACAAUAAGACAAAAUAAAAAAAAAGCUGGGAAAUGUUCACUAACGUUACAAAGUAGGCAGCCAGCAGUAAGUAGACUGUAGCGUGAGGCCGUGUGAGAGGUGAGGGUUGUGCGGCCCCCGCGCCCAGCAACACCAACGUGUCUCGUACACGUUUAUGUGGCUCAUUACCAAAUGUCCUUUAUUACUAUUCACCGUGUACUCACUAAUGAUACUAGAUAACUUAGUAUUACCAAUUGCUCGUUUUUCAUCACAAUAAAACGACCAAAAGAUAAGCGCCAAGGUGGCAGUGGUGGUGUUGGAGUGAGAGGCAGUGGGUCAGUGUGCGGGCUGUGGACGGUUGGCAUCUCCCCGGCCUCUCCCUGGCACUGCCCUAGCUGUAACAUAAUACUCGUUGAAGGGCAGCGCGGCGCCGAGCGGAGAGGCCCUGCAUGGGAAGUGGCGUGGUGCAGGGGUGGUGGUGAAGGAGAAGGAGGAGGGGGUGGCCUAAGCUCUUCAAGACUCAAACUCAGUGUUGAAUUUCUAGUAUUUGUGAAUCUACUACGUGUUGCCUGUCACUGGGGAGGAAGACGGAACUGGAUGCAUAACAGGCAAGAUGAGAAAUAUGGUCCCUUGGCUCUAAUAAACCAGCGUCCGGUGAUCUCUCUCUCUCUCUCUCUCUCUCUCUCUCUCUCUCUCUCUCUCUCUCUCUCUCUCUCUCUCUCUCUCACACACACACACAAGCUGAAAUAAGACACAUUAACUGGAGAAGCGUCAAGGUCACACACAACGGCACAAUCCCGAGCUACCCCAGUGCUAACCAGAUAUGUUUCCUUUAGUUUCCCCCGUCAAUACUCUAUAUUUGAAGUAUUCUUAUUCAAGCUAACCUUCUAAAAAGUUUUAAGGAAACAACAGGUUAUCAGUCAAGACACGAUAUAUUCUCACAGGUGAAGUGAGGUGAGGUGAGAGGCAUAAAAUUUCACAUAUAAAAUUACAUUUAUUUGAUAGCAGUUCACAGCAUCAUGAGACCGAGACAAGGCGGUAAAAAUAUGAAAAUAUCAGAAAUUUGUAAAUAUAUAUGAAAUAAAAUAUGGACUAGACACAGUGUAAUCCAGGGGAGGCGGUGGCUGAGUGGUUAGCGUGCCAGCGCCGCGUCCGGGAUAUCCAGGAACGACGCGGGUUCGAAUCCUGGCCGCCACACAGCUGCGAUUUUUCAGUCACCGCCGAGUGACCUAAGACUACCCACAUGCUGCCCUGAAGACCACCUAUCAACCCGGACUCUAGAUUACCUCUCCAAAGAGAGGCUCAAAAUAGAUGACUUCCGGGUGGCAGUAUAAGCCAAAACAAGAUGGUCCCACUAUAAACACUAGCCUGCGCCACAAUGGGCCGGGCCAAGGCCGUGGCUGGCCCGACCAUCAGGCCCCCACAAGUGAAACAGCCUAACAGCGCAAUAGGCCGCGACGUAAAAAAAAAACAAAAA